GCCAUCAACUUAUUUUUUUCUCCUUAUAUGUGUAAUAUUUUGAGGAGAUUUUUUAUGAGAAAUUAGUUGGAGAAUUUAUUUACUAUAAAAAAAUAUGGAAAGGGAUGUCCCAUAUUUUUUGAUGUCCCAUAUUUUUUUGAUAUGUUUUGCCAUAAAUUUUUGAGUAGGGACGACAACACAUCAAGAGUUCAUGAUCUCUAGGACUCUUUACCCCACCUCCU
rnacentral:lncRNA from 1 species